rnacentral:tRNA from 1 species
GGUGUCGCCAAGUGGUAAGGCUGCGGACUUUGACUCCGCCAUUCGUAGGUUCAAAUCCUGCCAUCC